GACGAACGCUGGCGGCGUGCUUAACACAUGCAAGUCGAACGGUGAAGCUCCAGCUUGCUGGAGUGGAUCAGUGGCGAACGGGUGAGUAACACGUGAGCAACCUGCCCCAGACUCUGGAAUAAGCGCUGGAAACGGCGUCUAAUACUGGAUACGAGAUCAAGCCGCAUGUUUAUGGUCUGGAAAGUUUUUCGGUUUGGGAUGGGCUCGCGGCCUAUCAGCUUGUUGGUGAGGUAAUGGCUCACCAAGGCGACGACGGGUAGCCGGCCUGAGAGGGCGACCGGCCACACUGGGACUGAGACACGGCCCAGACUCCUACGGGAGGCAGCAGUGGGGAAUAUUGCACAAUGGGCGAAAGCCUGAUGCAGCGACGCCGCGUGAGGGAUGACGGCCUUCGGGUUGUAAACCUCUUUCAGCAGGGAAGAAGCGAAAGUGACGGUACCUGCAGAAGAAGCACCGGCUAACUACGUG
rnacentral:rRNA from 1 species